rnacentral:rRNA from 5 species
GAAUGCUGACAUAAGUAACGAUAAAGCGGGUGAAAAGCCCGCUCGCCGGAAGACCAAGGGUUCCUGUCCAACGUUAAUCGGGGCAGGGUGAGUCGACCCCUAAGGCGAGGCCGAAAGGCGUAGUCGAUGGGAAACGGGUUAAUAUUCCCGUACUUGGUGUUACUGCGAAGGGGGGACGGAGAAGGCUAUGUUGGCCGGGCGACGGUUGUCCCGGUUUAAGCGUGUAGGUGUGUGUUCCAGGUAAAUCCGGUUCACUUUAACACUGAGGCGUGACGACGAGGCACUACGGUGCUGAAGCAACAAAUGCCCUGCUUCCAGGAAAAGCCUCUAAGCAUCAGGUAACACGAAAUCGUACCCCAAACCGACACAGGUGGUCAGGUAGAGAAUACCAAGGCGCUUGAGAGAACUCGGGUGAAGGAACUAGGCAAAAUGGUGCCGUAACUUCGGGAGAAGGCACGCUGACACGUAGGUGAAGUGAUUUACUCAUGGAGCUGAAGUCAGUCGAAGAUACCAGCUGGCUGCAACUGUUUAUUAAAAACACAGCACUGUGCAAACACGAAAGUGGACGUAUACGGUGUGACGCCUGCCCGGUGCCGGAAGGUUAAUUGAUGGGGUCAGCGUAAGCGAAGCUCCUGAUCGAAGCCCCGGUAAACGGCGGCCGUAACUAUAACGGUCCUAAGGUAGCGAAAUUCCUUGUCGGGUAAGUUCCGACCUGCACGAAUGGCGUAAUGAUGGCCAGGCUGUCUCCACCCGAGACUCAGUGAAAUUGAACUCGCUGUGAAGAUGCAGUGUACCCGCGGCAAGACGGAAAGACCCCGUGAACCUUUACUAUAGCUUGACACUGAACAUUGAGCCUUGAUGUGUAGGAUAGGUGGGAGGCUUUGAAGUGUGGACGCCAGUCUGCAUGGAGCCGACCUUGAAAUACCACCCUUUAAUGUUUGAUGUUCUAACGUGGACCCGUAAUCCGGGUUGCGGACAGUGUCUGGUGGGUAGUUUGACUGGGGCGGUCUCCUCCUAAAGAGUAACGGAGGAGCACGAAGGUUGGCUAAUCCUGGUCGGACAUCAGGAGGUUAGUGCAAUGGCAUAAGCCAGCUUGACUGCGAGCGUGACGGCGCGAGCAGGUGCGAAAGCAGGUCAUAGUGAUCCGGUGGUUCUGAAUGGAAGGGCCAUCGCUCAACGGAUAAAAGGUACUCCGGGGAUAACAGGCUGAUACCGCCCAAGAGUUCAUAUCGACGGCGGUGUUUGGCACCUCGAUGUCGGCUCAUCACAUCCUGGGGCUGAAGUAGGUCCCAAGGGUAUGGCUGUUCGCCAUUUAAAGUGGUACGCGAGCUGGGUUUAGAACGUCGUGAGACAGUUCGGUCCCUAUCUGCCGUGGGCGCUGGAGAACUGAGGGGGGCUGCUCCUAGUACGAGAGGACCGGAGUGGACGCAUCACUGGUGUUCGGGUUGUCAUGCCAAUGGCACUGCCCGGUAGCUAAAUGCGGAAGAGAUAAGUGCUGAAAGCAUCUAAGCACGAAACUUGCCCCGA